ACAUCCAGAGAAUUUAGCAGAGAUGCUUUAGUGCCUUCGGGAACUCUGAGACAGGUGCUGCAUGGCUGUCGUCAGCUCGUGUUGUGAAAUGUUGGGUUAAGUCCCGCAACGAGCGCAACCCUUAUCCUUUGUUGCCAGCACGUAAUGGUGGGAACUCAAAGGAGACUGCCGGUGAUAAACCGGGAGGAAGGUGGGGAUGACGUCAAGUCAUCAUGGCCCUUACGAGUAGGGCUACACACGUGCUACAAUGGCGCAUACAAAGAGAAGCGACCUCGCGAGAGCAAGCGGACCUCAUAAAGUGCGUCGUAGUCCGGAUUGGAGUCUGCAACUCGACUCCAUGAAGUCGGAAUCGCUAGUAAUCGUAAAUCAGAAUGUUACGGUGAAUACGUUCCCGGGCCUUGUACACACCGCCCGUCACACCAUGGGAGUGGGUUGCAAAAGAAGUAGAUAGCUUAACCUUCGGGAGGGCGUUUACCACUUUGUGAUUCAUGACUGGGGUGAAGUCGUAACAAGGUAGGCGUAGUGCU
rnacentral:rRNA from 1 species